rnacentral:lncRNA from 1 species
GGGAGGUGCUAUCACUGAAUACAUAAAGAAAUUGAGCCUAUAUGAUUUCAAUCUUCACCUUCUGAUGCUGAUGAAACAGGAUUCUAUUCAGUUUUCCACAGGGAGAAGCAGCAGGCUGAAGUGGCUCUUUAGGGAGACACAUACCUCCACAGGCAGAGCAGUCUAGAUUGUUUUAGCACAUUCCACUUAAGGAUUGCAGUGUGACAGCAGAGAAAAUCCUCUCCAGUCAAGUAAUUGCAUCCAUUUCAUCUUCCCAGCCCUCCUCUAGAUGGGAGGUGGAGGACAGUGGGGACCCCAGACAGAGCCUGGGGACUUGGCUGCCUUGGAACCAGAACCUGGCCCCUCAGAGGAGUUGCAGAAUUUCGAUAGAUGAGUGGCGGGAGGUGUACUGGCUGAAGAGGAGGCCCAAGGAACUCCUUUUCAUACAUCAAAACUGAGCUUAUCACCUCUACCCUGAAGUCAUCCUGGAUAUCACUGGUCCCAGUUAAUCACUCACUUAUCUUUGCCAUCCUUGACCUGGGAAGAGAACAUUGCCCUCAUUGGUCUGGAAUCAGCAGGUACCUCAUGGCUGGAGGUGUAUUUUCAGACUCCUUUGGCAUCUGGUGAGGCCUGUGGAUUCAUUCUCAGAAUCACAUUUUUAAAUGCCCAUAAUAAAAUACAUAGAAUUGCAAAGGAAGUUAAUUAUAUUGAAAUACAGUUAUCAAAAAUAUAAAUAAA